GAGACUGGCGGACGGGUGAGUAACGCGUAGAUAACCUGCCUUUGCCUGGGGGAUAACACUGGGAAACUGGUGCUAAUACCGCAUAAUGCAGCGGGGCCGCAUGGCCAUAGUUGUUAAAGGUUUCGGCCGGGUAAAGAUGGGUCUGCGUACUAUUAGCUAGUUGGUAAGGUAAUGGCUUACCAAGGCGAUGAUAGUUAGGGGGUCUGAGAGGAUGAUCCCCCACACUGGGACUGAGACACGGCC
rnacentral:rRNA from 14 species